CACGGGGGGGGCAAGCGUUGUUCGGAAUUACUGGGCGUAAAGGGCUCGUAGGUGGCCAACUAAGUCAGACGUGAAAUCCCUCGGCUUAACCGGGGAACUGCGUCUGAUACUGGAUGGCUUGAGUUCGGGAGAGGGAUGCGGAAUUCCAGGUGUAGCGGUGAAAUGCGUAGAUAUCUGGAGGAACACCGGUGGCGAAGGCGGCAUCCUGGACCGACACUGACACUGAGGAGCGAAAGCCAGGGGAGCAAACGGG
rnacentral:rRNA from 1 species